AAAUCAAUUCACCCUAACCAAACGCGCUCCUUUCUUUGAUUCUCUAUUUCUCUCCCGAAGUAAGGACGAAUAAGCAAGAUCUCGGAAUAUAUUGAAGAUAAGCUUCUUUGGUUACCGGUAACUUUAUGCUUUAAAGCCUUUUGCACGAGCGAGCCCGCCGCCCGCGUUCUUACAUCAGCCCUGCACCUGUAUUUCUCCGUCUGAAGUUCGUCUUCCGUUCCUAACCCAAAUACCGACCAACCCUAACCCUAAUUAACUCCUGGAACGUCCAUGGCGGGGGACGAAGCUGACACUCGAAAGAAGCACAGGAGGUCUCCCGAUGAUGGAGCUGAGGAGGGGGCCAAGCGCCGAAAGCACAGCCACCGACACCACCACAGCAGCAGCCAUCAUCGGCACCACCAUCGCCAUCGCAGAAGCAAAAGCGACCUUGGCAGCAAACAUGAAGAAGAAAUUGCUCUUCCUGUUUCUGUUGUCUCAGGUUCUAAUUCACGUCCAGACGACGAAAAAGAAGAGGGUGAGAUCCUUGAAGAAGAAGAGGAGGGUUAUGGAGUUGGCGAUGUUGCAGUGGUGAAGGAGAAAACAAACUCUGGUGUUGAAUCCGGCGAGAUUGAGCCAGGUGAAGUCGCUGGCGGAUCGGAUAAUCGGGAUCGGGAGGAUCACGCCGAGGGAGACACCGCUUCUGGUAAAGGUCAAGAAAAGCCUGAGCUAAAUCGUAAUGUGCUGACAGAGAAUAGCGUAGGAAAGAAUGCUCAAAGUUCAAAAACAUCCAAAGAGUAUAACGUUGAUGAUACAACAUUGGAUUUGGCGGGGGAUAGGAGAGAGGAGAUUGGCAAUCAGCUUCAUGAACGUUCUGACAGGAAAGAUAUAAAAAAUGCACCUGCCAGGGCUGGUGGCUCCAGAGAUUCAAGGAUUGGCCAUUUGGCAUCUGGUCAGGAAUAUGGAGAAGCAGAGAUUAAUGGGUCAAGUUCCGAAUCUGAAGCCUUGAAGUCCAGGGAAAAGAAACAUAUUGGCUCAUCCUCAAGUGAUGACAUGUUGCUUCAUGCCAAUGGGGAUAUUAGUCAGAAAUUUCCUGGAGAGGAUUAUAUGUCCCCUCUAAAAGGAACAAGAAAGGAAAAGGAUUACAGGGAUGCUAAAGAAACUGCAUCAAGAAGGUGUACUAGGUCGAGAUCUCCGGUAGCUGGAGAAGAUAUGGGCUCAAGAAAGAACAGAAAAAGAGAUGAUCAAGGGGCUAAAACUGAUUCAAUAAGAGAUGAAUUAAGUAAACCUUUGGAACUAAUAGAUUCUGACAAAAUUGGUACAGAACAUAGAAGAAGAUCAAAGUCUCCUGAAAGUAUGAAGUACAGGAAUAAUAGGUACUAUGAUGAGGUCCAUUCUAGGAACAGGUUGAGGUCUCCUGAGCAUGCAAGAGAGAGGAGAUCUCAGUCCCGUAGUGUAUUGCAAGAGAAGAACAAGAAUGAUUCUGAUCAUGAAAUAGUGGUAAGAUACAGUAGGGAGGACAUGCAUAGUAGUAGAGACUGGGUGAGGGACAGAGGAAGGGAGCGGAGUAGUAGUUAUAGCAGAUACAGUGAACGAGAGGAUAAACAUGGCAGUCGGGAUACAAGAGAAAGGGAUAGGGGUAAGGAUAGAGAUAGAGAUAGGGAAAGGGAUGGGGACAGGGAAAGGUAUAGAGACAGGGAUAGGGAAAGGGACAGGGAAAAGACAAGAGAUAGGGAUAGAGAUAGGAAUAGUGAGAGGGAGAGGGAGAGGGAGAGAGGUAGGGAUAAGGAUAGAAGUAGGGAGACUGAGUUUGACAGAGUGAGCAGACAUAAUUAUGAUGGUCCUAAAGAUGACUAUGGUAGUCGAGAUAGGCAUAAGGAUUCCAAGCAUCCAAAAUAUGAUGAACCUGAGCGACGGGAAAGAACAAGAACAAAAGAUGCAAAGAAAGCACCUAAUUCUAUGAAUAAUGUUUCAGAGGGGCAUGAAGAGAAUCUACAAAGAGAUGAUGAUGAAGAAGAAAAUUAUGAAGACAAGGUUGCAUUGCAACUUGCGGAGCAGGAAGAGGAAGACAUUGACAGAAUUAAGGAGGAGAGCAGAAAAAGAAGACAAGCUAUUUUAGAAAAAUAUAAACAGCAGCACUUGCAACAACAGGUUGAAUCUCAUUCUCAAAUUGUGGAUAAAGAGGAAAAGAAUUCUUCCAAUGUUGAUGUGCCAAAAGAGCAGCCUUGCUCUUCAAAAGCUGCUGUUAGUGCUGGCCUUGAAGUUGUUGAGGGUAGGAAAGAGACUUCAGAUUUCUAUGCUGUUGGUGUGCCAUUUUCUGUGGGGAAAUCACCACCACAAAAUGGAGCUUUGGAUCAUCAGAGGACUUCUGGUGUUGGGGGCCUAGGAGAUGGUUCACCAAAGAGUGAGAGAUCAAAUGACAUGUUUUGUGACGAUAUUUUUGGAGAGUCACCUGCUGGAGUUCGUAAGCCGGGGAAAGGAGAUGGUCUACAGAUUGAAAGGAGUGGUCUUCAUGAUAAUUGGGACGAUGCAGAGGGAUACUAUAGUUACCGAUUUGGGGAAAUACUUGACGGUCGAUAUGAAAUUACUGCUGCUCACGGGAAAGGCGUUUUUUCUACUGUAGUCCGUGCAAAGGAUCUCAAGGCUGGAAGAGGUGAUCCAGAAGAAGUGGCUAUAAAAAUCAUACGCAAUAAUGAGACCAUGUACAAGGCGGGUAUGGAGGAACUUGUCAUAUUGAAGAAGCUAGCUGGUGCAGAUCCUGAGGAUCGGCGUCAUUGUGUUCGAUUUCUCUCAAGUUUCAAGUACCGGAAUCAUCUUUGCUUAGUUUUUGAAUCUCUUCAUAUGAAUCUUCGUGAGGUUCUAAAGAAGUUUGGUCGUAAUAUUGGUCUUAAACUGACUGCUGUGAGGGCAUAUGCAAAGCAGCUUUUUAUUGCAUUGAAGCAUCUCAGAAACUGUGGUGUUUUGCAUUGUGACAUAAAGCCAGAUAAUAUGCUGGUUAAUGAGGCGAAAAAUGUGCUGAAGCUUUGUGAUUUUGGCAAUGCAAUGUUCGCUGGAAAAAAUGAGAUCACUCCAUACUUGGUGAGCCGUUUUUAUCGUGCUCCUGAAAUAAUUCUUGGCUUGCCUUAUGAUCAUCCAAUGGAUAUUUGGUCUGUUGGUUGCUGUUUGUAUGAGCUUUAUACUGGGAAGGUUCUUUUUCCUGGUCCAUCAAACAAUGACAUGCUUCGCCUCCACAUGGAAUUAAAGGGUCCCUUUCCAAAGAAGAUGCUGCGGAAGGGUGCAUUUACUGAUCAGCAUUUUGACCAGGAUUUGAAUUUCCAUGCUACCGAAGAAGAUCCUGUUACGAAAAAGGCUGUAAAGAGGCUUCUUCUCAAUAUUAAGCCAAAGGAUAUUGGUUCUUUAAUUACAAGUUCUCCUGGUGAGGAUCCAAAGAUGUUGGCCAAUUUCAAGGAUCUUUUAGAAAGAAUAUUUAUAUUGGAUCCAGAAAAGAGAAUGACAGUCUCUCAAGCAUUGAGUCAUCCAUUCAUCACUGAGCAUUGGACACAGAGUUACUGGCGUGGCUGAAGUGCGAAAAAAGAUGUUUGGUUUGGAGACCUUCCUACUUGGCGGUUCUUCCAGUGGGAUGUGUUCUGUCUCUAUUGGUUUCUUCCAGUGCUAUGAGGCAACGAUCAGUGCUUUAGAUGCUUAGAGGGCAAACAAAAAGAAGGCUUUUGCACUGGAGAUGAGUGGUUGCAGCUCUAUGGUGAAUAUGUAGCUUGGUUAUGCUACUAUGGUUGCUAACUAUCUGGAAUUUCUGUAAGUAAUCUAGCUCUCAUAUUCAUUGAGCACCAUCCACCUUAUUGAUGUUUAGGAAUCAGGGUAUGGCUUGUGAUGGUAAGUGUAUACAUUUAAUUAUUCUUUUAGAAUUUUAUUUCUCAUUUUUUACCUAAAGUUUUCUCAUUUUUUUGUUUAAUGUUUAGGAAAGUAGUUUUUCCAGUUUGAGUUCUAGAUACCUUGACUAAUCAAUUUCUAAGUCUAGGGCUACAUUGUGUUUAUCCAUUGUUCUUUUAUUAUACACGAUUCCACUGAAUAGUAGUUAUUGGGUGAAAAAAACCUUUGCUGAAUGGUGUAAUGAAAUUGUUGCCAUGUUCAGUGUUUUAAAAGGCGUGGGAGGCAUACGCUUGGAGGCGCACCUCCAGGCGAGGCGCUCCCAAAACGCCCUGAGGCGUAUGCCAGAGGCGCUGACACCUCUAAGGUGUACGCCUCAUGUGCUUUUUUCAUGAGGUGUGCUAGAGGCGUACACCUCAUGCGCUUCAUGCACAUCUUAUAUAAAAAG